AUACGUAGGGGGCGAGCGUUGUCCGGAAUGAUUGGGCGUAAAGGGCGCGUAGGCGGCGCGGUAAGUCUGGAGUGAAAGUCCUGCUUUCAAGGUGGGAAUUGCUUUGGAUACUGCCGCGCUUGAGUGCAGGAGAGGUUAUCGGAAUUCCCGGUGUAGCGGUGAAAUGCGUAGAGAUCGGGAGGAACACCAGUGGCGAAGGCGGGUAACUGGACUGCAACUGACGCUGAGGCGCGAAAGUGUGGGGAGCAAACAGGAUUAGAUACCCUGGUAGUCCACACUGUAAACGACGAAUGCUAGGUGUAAGAGGUAUCGACCCCUUUUGUGCCGGAGUCAACACAAUAAGCAUUCCGCCUGGGGAGUACGGCCGCAAGGUUGAAACUCAAAUGAAUUGGCGGGG
rnacentral:rRNA from 1 species